ensembl:lncRNA LINC01192 long intergenic non-protein coding RNA 1192
AAAGAGGUGGCAUCGGCGGUUCAAGACUGAGUUUUCUAUCUCUUCAGUGCCUCUUUCAACAAUGAAGAUCAAACCAGGUUUUGUGCAAAUAUCUGCUGAGUGAACUACUUAUUUGAAAAUACAUCAUUGGUUAAUAUUCCCUUUUGCUCAUUGAAAUCUCAAAGACUACAGACCCCGCACAAGACAUUCUGACAUUCCCGUCUUUGAAAUGAAUGACAGCAAUGAUAAAUAUGGCUCACCUCCAGAGAUACAGAUCUCACAACUUCAUAUUUUUAAUAUAAAUUAUUAAUCUGAGGUGUGGUGCAAUUCCAUUAGAUGAAAGAGAUCUACACAUUCAGAAGCACAUGAUUCUUCCCCCUUCCAUGAUUCCAGUGGCCAAUAGACAAACUACAAUAAAGCCAUGCCCUGACUGGAUGUGCCUAACAUUUGUCUGGUGCUUAAAGGAGUUGGCUGCAUGCGUGGGAUGGAGAAGGAUUCAACAUUUAAUGGCAGUUAGAAUCAAAUUUUUAACUCAAGAAGGCAGAAGGAAUCCACCUAAAUAAAUGUUGGAAAGUCACCAAAAAUAGUUCUCCAAGUCAGAAGCGGUGCAAAAGCUGCCUCAGCUCUUGGUGGAUUUUCAAUUUCUCCCAGCCAUCUCUGUUUCGCUAAAGGUUUCUGAAGACAGUGGGAGUUUCCCUGCACAAGCCCUCUUCUCUUGUCUGCCACCCUGUGAGACAUGGCUUUUGCCUUCCACCAUGAUUGUGUGGCCUCCCCAACCACGUGGAACUAUAAUGAAGAUAUUAUACCAUUAUAUGCUCUUGAAUCUGUCUCAUUGUGACUUGGCGAAGAGGCAGUGAAUCUGCCAAAAAGAAGUAGAGCAGCUGUGAAGAUGCCAACACAAUUGAGUACUCUUUCUCUACAUAUUUCUAAAUAUGGCAAUUUAUUGGACACUUAUGAGCAUGGAAUGACAAUGGGGUCAAUUUAACCAUACGGCAAUGCUGAGACACCUUCAUUAUGACCUUUCCCUGGUAUAAGUUAUGUGAUAAUGAAUGCAUGUUUAGUCACACACUGUAGGUACAGAUGGGAAAAAAGAAAGCAUAAAAUAUAAAACAUGAUGUCCAGGUUUCAAAUAAGAAUUCUAAAAUGUUAUUUAAUUAAUGAAAUGAAAAUACUUUACUUUAGAAAAAGAA